rnacentral:rRNA from 1 species
UAGUCCACGCCCUAAACGAUGGAUACUAGUUGUCGGGACACCUAAUCGUCUCGGUAACGCAGCUAACGCAAUAAGUAUCCCGCCUGGGAAGUACGAUCGCAAGAUUGAAACUCAAAGGAGUUGACGGGGGCCCGCACAAGCGGUGGAGCAUGUGGUUUAAUUCGAUGAUACGCGAGGAACCUUACCAGGGCUUAAAUGUAGUCUGACAGCUUUAGAGAUAGAGUUUUCUUCGGACAGAUUACAAGGUGCUGCAUGGUUGUCGUCAGCUCGUGCCGUGAGGUGUCAGGUUAAGUCCUAUAACGAGCGCAACCCCUGUUGUUAGUUGCCAGCGAGUAAUGUCGGGAACUCUAGCAAGACUGCCGGUGCAAACCGCGAGGAAGGUGGGGAUGACGUCAAAUCAUCACGGCCCUUACGUCCUGGGCUACACACGUGCUACAAUGGUCAGUACAGAGGGCAGCCACUACGCGAGUAGGAGCGAAUCCUUAAAACUGAUCUCAGUUCGGAUCGG